rnacentral:rRNA from 1 species
AGAGUUUGAUCAUGGCUCAGGAUGAACGCUAGCGGCAGGCCUAAUACAUGCAAGUCGAGGGGCAGCACGAGUAGCAAUACUUGGUGGCGACCGGCGCACGGGUGCGUAACACGUAUGCAAUCUACCUUUAACUGGAGAAUAGCCCGAAGAAAUUCGGAUUAAUACUCCAUAGCAUUACGAAGUAGCAUUACUUUGUAAUUAAAGCUCCGGCGGUAAGAGAUGGGCGUGCGUCUGAUUAGGUAGUUGGCGGGGUAACGGCCCACCAAGCCUGCGAUCAGUAGCUGACGUGAGAGCAUGAUCAGCCACACGGGCACUGAGACACGGGCCCGACUCCUACGGGAGGCAGCAGUAAGGAAUAUUGGUCAAUGGACGCAAGUCUGAACCAGCCAUGCCGCGUGGAGGAUGACGGUCCUCUGGAUUGUAAACUUCUUUUCUCUGGGACGAAACCCCCGAUUUCUAUCGGGCCUGACGGUACCAGAGGAAUAAGCACCGGCUAACUCCGUGCCAGCAGCCGCGGUAAUACGGAGGGUGCAAGCGUUAUCCGGAUUCACUGGGUUUAAAGGGUGCGUAGGUGGGCAGAUAAGUCAGUGGUGAAAUCUCUGGGCUUAACCCGGAAACUGCCAUUGAUACUAUUUGUCUUGAAUUCUCUGGAGGUAAGCGGAAUAUGUCAUGUAGCGGUGAGAUGCUUAGAUAUGACAUAGAACACCCAUUGCGAAGGCAGCUUACUACGGAGAUAUUGACACUGAGGCACGAAAGCGUGGGGAUCAAACAGGAUUAGAUACCCUGGUAGUCC